UACGUAGGGGGCAAGCGUUGUUCGGAUUCAUUGGGCGUAAAGGGUGCGUAGGCGGCGCGGUAAGUCGGGUGUGAAAUCUCGGAGCUUAACUCCGAAACUGCAUUCGAUACUGCCGUGCUUGAGGACUGGAGAGGAGACUGGAAUUUACGGUGUAGCGGUGAAAUGCGUAGAUAUCGAGAGGAACACCUGCGGCGAAGGCGGGUAGCUGGGCCGACACUGACGCUGAGGCGCGAAAGCCAGGGGAGCGAACGGG
rnacentral:rRNA from 1 species